rnacentral:rRNA from 1 species
AAACGACUGCUAAUACCGCAUACGCCCUACGGGGGAAAGGAGGGGACCUUCGGGCCUUCCGCGAUUGGNUGAACCUAGGUGGGAUUAGCUAGUUGGUGAGGUAAUGGCUCACCAAGGCGACGAUCCCUAGCUGUUCUGAGAGGAUGAUCAGCCACACUGGGACUGAGACACGGCCCAGACUCCUACGGGAGGCAGCAGUGGGGAAUAUUGCACAAUGGGGGAAACCCUGAUGCAGCCAUGCCGCGUGUGUGAAGAAGGCCUUCGGGUUGUAAAGCACUUUCAGUAGGGAGGAAAGGUAAUAGUUUAAUAAACUAUUACUGUGACGUUACCUACAGAAGAAGGACCGGCUAACUCCGUGCCAGCAGCCGCGGUAAUACGGAGGGUCCGAGCGUUAAUCGGAAUUACUGGGCGUAAAGCGUGCGCAGGCGGUUUGUUAAGCCAGAUGUGAAAUCCCCGGGCUCAACCUGGGAAUUGCAUUUGGAACUGGCGAACUAGAGUCUUGUAGAGGGGGGUAGAAUUCCAGGUGUAGCGGUGAAAUGCGUAGAUAUCUGGAGGAAUACCGGUGGCGAAGGCGGCCCCCUGGAC